AUUGAACGCUGGCGGCAGGCCUAACACAUGCAAGUCGAACGGUAGCAGGAAGAAGCUUGCUUCUUUGCUGACGAGUGGCGGACGGGUGAGUAAUGUCUGGGAAACUGCCUGAUGGCGGGGGAUAACUACUGGAAACGGUAGCUAAUACCGCAUAACGUCGCAAGACCAAAGAGGGGGACCUUCGGGCCUCUUGCCAUCGGCUGUGCCCAGAUGGGAUUAGCUAGUAGGUGGGGUAACGGCUCACCUAGGCGACGAUCCCUAGCUGGUCUGAGAGGGUGACCAGCCACACUGGAACUGAGACACGGUCCAGACUCCUACGGGAGGCAGCAGUGGGGAAUAUUGCACAAUGGGCGCAAGCCUGAUGCAGCCAUGCCGCGUGUAUGAAGAAGGCCUUCGGGUUGUAAAGUACUUUCAGCGGGGAGGAAGGGAGUAAAGUUAAUACCUUUGCUCAUUGACGUUACCCGCAGAAGAAGCACCGGCUAACUCCGUG
rnacentral:rRNA from 1 species